rnacentral:rRNA from 1 species
CCUACGGGAGGCAGCAGUGGGGAAUAUUGCACAAUGGGGGAAACCCUGAUGCAGCGACGCCGCGUGAGUGAAGAAGUAAUUCGUUAUGUAAAGCUCUAUCAGCAGGGAAGAGAAUGACGGUACCUGAGUAAGAAGCCCCGGCUAACUACGUGCCAGCAGCCGCGGUAAUACGUAGGGGUCAAGCGUUAUCCGGAUUUACUGGGUGUAAAGGGAGCGUAGACGGCAGUGCAAGUCUGGAGUGAAAGGCGGGGGCUCAACCCCCGGACUGCUCUGGAAACUGUACGGCUGGAGUGCAGGGGAGGUAAGUGGAAUUCCUAGGGUAGCGGUGAAAUGCGGAGAUAUUAGGAGGAACACCAGUGGCGAAGGGGGCUUACUGGACUGUAACUGACGUUGAGGCUCGAAAGCGUGGGGAGCAAACAGGAUUAGAUACCCGUGUAGUC